rnacentral:rRNA from 1 species
CAGGGUGACAGGUGGUGCAUGGUUGUCGUCAGCUCGUGUCGUGAGAUGUUGGGUUAAGUCCCGCAACGAGCGCAACCCUCGCCUCUAGUUGCCAGCAUUCGGUUGGGCACUCUAGAGGGACUGCCGGCGACAAGUCGGAGGAAGGUGGGGAUGACGUCAAAUCAUCAUGCCCCUUAUGACCUGGGCUACACACGUGUUACAAUGGGCGGUACAAAGGGCUGCGAACCCGCGAGGGGGAGCGAAUCCCAAAAAGCCGCUCUCAGUUCGGAUUGCAGGCUGCAACUCGCCUGCAUGAAGCCGGAAUCGCUAGUAAUCGCGGAUCAGCAUGCCGCGGUGAAUACGUUCCCGGGCCUU